rnacentral:lncRNA from 1 species
AGUUCCUGCGACGCCCCUGCAGCAGCAGCAGCGUGGUCAGAGCGAGCUUCUGAGCGGUGGUGGGUUCCAUGUGAUGGUGGAGUAGGAGACAGGUCUCCGCGGUCAGUGGCGGGGGCGUGGACCCCACCGGGAACCCUCCCUGCUCCUUCCCUGCCUCUCCCUGUUUUCGUGCCCGCACUUCUUCGUGGGCAUCUGGGCCCGAGUCCUCCGCUUGGGGGCGGUUGUGCGGUCCUGGCUACUGCAGCGUCCGCACCCCGGCCGGGAAGGCUAUGCCAAUGUCCGACCCGCGUCCAGCGUAUAGGAGCGCCCUGGCCCACAGCUGGCGGUAAAACGCGGGACCUGGGUCCCUCGGAGCCCCAGGGGCCUCUGAGCUGGAGUCUAGGAUUAUUUUUGAUGCCUCAGCACCUUUAAAAAGAGACCUCGCUAGAGCAGGGGGCAUCUGUAUUUUCAGUUCUUUGAGGAGUCUCCAGCUAUUUAGCUGUUUUCCAUGGUUCAUCUGCGUUGCUCUAAAUGGGACUGUUUCAUUAUUUUGAUGGCUGAAGAAUAUUUCCUAGUGUAUGUAUAUGAGAGUUUCUUGAUCUCUUUAUCUGUGGAUGAACAGCUACUUUGAAAUAUAUGAUACAUUUGUGUUAAGGCUAGUCACGCUGCUGUGGAAUAGAAGGCCAGAAUUGAUCACUAUCAUCUGAGAGUAACUUUGUACCCAUCACUGAUUCCUUCCGAGACUGCCUCCACUUCCCCAGCAGCCUCUGAUUUCUUCAUGUGGCUGCAGAUGGCAGGAUUUCCCAAAGGUUUAUGGCUGCAACAUAUUCCGUGGUGUAUCUGUACAGCAGUUUCCUCAUUCCUGCAGCUGUGUUUGAACAGGUCAUUUACCAUGCGGUCCUCCAGGUUCAACAGUAUGGCUCCAAAUGAUGAAAUUUCAUUCUGAUUUUCUGGCUGAAGACUAUUCUGUUUGUGUAUGUCCACCACAGUUACUUUAUCCCUUCAUCUGUGGAUGGGCAGUUGGUUGGCAGAGAAUUUGAACUGGAGAUGAACUUUAUUAUCCAGGAUGCUGAGAGUAUAACAUGCAUGACAGAGCUUUUAGAGCACUGUGAUGUAACAUGUCAAGCAGAAAUAGGGAGCAUGUUUACAGCCAUUCUAUGAAAAAGUGUUCGGAAUGUACAGACUAGCACAGAAGCUGGACUAAUUGAACAAGUAUUGCUGAAAAUGAGUGCUGUAGAUGACAUGAUAGCAGAGUACCUUCAAGUUUAAAUCUGAGAGUGAUAUUCAUUUGGCAGAACAUCAUAAACAGGUUUUGUAUGAUGGGAAACUUGCAAGUAGCAUUACCUUUACAUAUACUGCUAAGGCCACUGAUGCUCAACUCUGCCUGGAAUCAUCACCAAAAGAGAAUGCAUCAAUUUUUGUGCAUUCCCAACAUGCUCUAAUGCUUCAGAUUCAAGUGCUUUUUCCACUGUUUCCCCAAUUGGAUAAUCGGCAGCUCAAUGACAGUCAAGUGGAAACAACUGUCUGCUCCUGCUUCAGGUGCAGAAAUACAGCGAUUUCCAGUGCCAGCUGUUGAGCCAGUGCCAGCACCAGGGGCAGAUUCCCCUCCAGGGACAGCGCUGGAGCUAGAGGAAGCUCCAGAGCCCUCCUGCCGCUGCCCUGGGACUGCCCAGGACCAGCCCAGUGAGGAGCUGCCUGACUUCAUGGCACCUCCUGUAGAGCCACCGGCCUCAGCCCUGGAGCUGAAAGUGUGGCUGGAGCUAGAGGUGGCAGAGAGGGGUGGCCAGCACAGCUCCAGCCAGCAGCUCCCACACUGCUCCCAGUCCUGGGCACAGUGGAAGCUAUGGAGGCAGAGACCAGGGUUUGCAAUCUGGGCUCCUCUGCCUCACUGGAGAGGGACUUCUCUCAUUCAGCAGAGCAGCAGCCCUGCUGCUGAAGGGCCUGCUGCUACUGCUGCUGGGGCUGUUUGCCUGCCUGCAGGAGGUGCUGGAGAGCAAGAAAAGGAGCCUGUGAGCAGGGGUUCCAGCAGGUCCUCCUGCUCCCAGAGGCGACCUCCUCCUCCAGGCAUGGAGGUUUGCCCUCAGCUGGGCAUCUGGGCCAUUUGCCCCUAACGUGCUGCCCAGGAUGGCCUCCUCUUGACAGGCGGACAGGGGGUGAGGGGGCCAGGGGGCAUCUCCAAAGGAAGCUUUUAAACUCAGCAGCUGCACCCCAGAAUCUGUAUGCCUGCACCUGCCCAAGGAUUUAUUCAUAGCUUACCUAAGAAUUUCAAAUUUCUACCAUAACACUGAAUAAAGUUUGACUUUUUGAAACUUC